UACGUAGGCAGCGAGCGUUGUUCGGAAUUACUGGGCGUCAAGAGUGUGUAGGCGGUGCUCUAAGUUCGGUGUGAAAUCUCCCGGCUUAACUGGGAGGGUGCGCCGGAAACUGGAGUGCUCGAGCGUGGGAGAGGAAAGCGGAAUUCCUGGUGUAGCGGUGAAAUGCGUAGAUAUCAGGAGGAACACCUGCGGUGUAGACGGCUUUCUGGACCAUUGCUGACGCUGAGACACGAAAGCGUGGGUAGCAAACAGG
rnacentral:rRNA from 1 species